GCCAGCUACUGCACUGGACUCAAGGAGCCUAUACAGUUUUCCUCCGAGAGAGUUGGGGAGUGGAAAUGAGAAGAAAGAAAAAAAACCUGGAGAUAAGCUUUUGUCUGGAGCCUUUCAUUCCUUGAAACUAGGUGUUUACCAAAUGGACCUGGAGCCAGGGCAAGGGGUUCCCAAACUUGUGGUGCAACUGCUUCAUCUGCAUAGGGCGUCCCAAGCAGAAAAUGGGAUUUUUAUGUUUUCAAAAGAAACUGAGGCUCCAGGAGGAGAAGCAACUUGUCUGAAGCCCAUCCUACUCAGCUGGAUUGGAACUGAGAUGCAGCGGAGCCUUUCCUGGAACAAAUUCCUUCAGACAAAUUCUCCACCAGACCGUCAAGUCAGGGUGAAUGAGGGUAAAUGGGGAGCUUGUUAGGAGUUGGUGCCAAACUACCCGGAGUUUCCUGCGCCAGGCUGAUGCCCUUCUAGAAGCUUCUAGGUCUUCCCAAUUGUGUGGAAAGGACUCCAGCUAUACAGCCAGCAAAGUUACUGCAGAGAAAAUGGCUGACACUGAGGACAAAUUCUGGACGCCAAAGCUUAUUCUCACUCAAGACAAAUAAGUAGAAAAUAUCAAGCAGGGCAUAACCCACAGAAGGGACAGUCAUGAGAAGCUCACUGGUCAAAUUUCAAGUCUGAAGUCAAGAGACCCAGAGGAACACAAAAAGAGUUUUGCCAACCGAUGCUCAGGAUCAGGAAACAACAGCCAUGUGUGGAAAUUUUCCAAAAAAACUGGGUGCUGAGGUCAUGAUUAUAGCUUUUCUCUCAAUCAAGUCCAGCUCCUUGCAAACAGAGCUUUGAUGAAUCCACGUUGCUUCUUCCCAGAGUGAUCACCACAUAACAAAAGCAAAUACAGCUGAAAUCUCACAUUUCCCCAUCUUCUAUAUAUCCCCAGCCUAUUUUUAUUGUUUACACAAACUGUAAAGUAUAUAAUACUACCUUCUUUCCUUUCCCCUACCCCUCCCACUUUCCCUUCCCCUUUUCCCCGAGAAGGGAAUG